rnacentral:rRNA from 1 species
GAUGAACGCUGGCGGCGUGCCUAAUACAUGCAAGUCGAGCGAACGGACGAGAAGCUUGCUUCUCUGAUGUUAGCGGCGGACGGGUGAGUAACACGUGGAUAACCUACCUAUAAGACUGGGAUAACUUCGGGAAACCGGAGCUAAUACCGGAUAAUAUUUUGAACCGCAUGGUUCAAAAGUGAAAGACGGUCUUGCUGUCACUUAUAGAUGGAUCCGGGCUGCAUUAGCUAGUUGGUAAGGUAACGGCUUACCAAGGCAACGAUGCAUAGCCGACCUGAGAGGGUGAUCGGCCACACUGGAACUGAGACACGGUCCAGACUCCUACGGGAGGCAGCAGUAGGGAAUCUUACGCAAUAGGCGAAAGCCUGACGGAGCAACGCCGCGUGAGUGAUGAAGGUCUUCGGAUCGUAAAACUCUGUUAUUAGGGAAGAACAUAUGUGUAAGUAACUGUGCACAUCUUGACGGUACCUAAUCAGAAAGCCACGGCUAACUACGUG